UAGAGUUUGAUCCUGGCUCAGAACGAACGCUGGCGGCAGGCCUAACACAUGCAAGUCGAACGAGAAGUUCACCUUCGGGUGGAUGGACAGUGGCAGACGGGCGAGUAACGCGUGGGAAUUUACCUAGUGGUACGGAAUAACCCAGGGAAACUUGGACUAAUACCGUAUACGCCCUUCGGGGGAAAGAUUCAUCGCCAUUAGAUGAGCCCGCGUUAGAUUAGCUUGUUGGUGAGGUAAAGGCUCACCAAGGCUACGAUCUAUAGCUGGUCUGAGAGGAUGAUCAGCCACACUGGGACUGAGACACGGCCCAGACUCCUACGGGAGGCAGCAGUGGGGAAUAUUGCACAAUGGGCGCAAGCCUGAUGCAGCCAUGCCGCGUGAGUGAUGAAGGCCCUAGGGUUGUAAAGCUCUUUCAUCGGUGAAGAUAAUGACGGUAGCCGAAGAAGAAGCCCCGGCUAACUCCGUGCCAGCAGCCGCGGUAAUACGGAGGGGGCUAGCGUUGUUCGGAAUUACUGGGCGUAAAGCGCGCGUAAGCGGACUGAUCAGUUGGGGGUGAAAGCCCGAGGCUCAACCUCGGAACUGCCCUCAAUACUGUCAGUCUAGAGUCCGAGAG
rnacentral:rRNA from 1 species